GACGAACGCUGGCGGCGUGCUUAACACAUGCAAGUCGAACGGAAAGGCCCUGCUUUUGUGGGGUGCUCGAGUGGCGAACGGGUGAGUAACACGUGAGUAACCUGCCCUUGACUUUGGGAUAACUUCAGGAAACUGGGGCUAAUACCGGAUAGGAGCUCCUGCUGCAUGGUGGGGGUUGGAAAGUUUCGGCGGUUGGUGAUGGACUCGCGGCUUAUCAGCUUGUUGGUGGGGUAGUGGCUUACCAAGGCUUGGACGGGUAGCCGGCCUGAGAGGGUGACCGGCCACAUUGGGCCUGAGAUACGGCCCAGACUACUACGGGAGGCAGCAGUGGGGAAUAUUGCACAGUGGGCGGAAGCCUGAUGCAGCAACGCCGCGUGCGGGAUGACGGCCUUCGGGUUGUAAACCGCUUUCGCCUGUGACGAAGCGUGAGUGACGGUAAUGGGUAAAGAAGCACCGGCUAACUACGUG
rnacentral:rRNA from 1 species